UGCAUACCCCUUAUGUGAUCGGGCCUUAACUCCAACCAGUGUCUUAGGCUGCCUUCCAUGAGUUCAGCAAAAAAGGCGGGGAGAGUCAGUUCUGGGGAUCAGAGCAGUAGAGAUACCGAAGUAGUAAAUCCCGUGGGCUACACCUGCCCCCAACGCCCGCCAUUUGCUGUCAAUCCUAGCCUCGGGGCGGAGCCCGGUGAAAGCUAAAGAGGGUAUGCAAGCCAGGGAGACCCUGUAGAGCGGCGGGAGAGGGGGAGGAGCCGCUCCGAGGGGCCUAUAGGCACCACACCUGAGGCGGGCUAUUCCGACUCCUCCCCCACGACGGCAGGAAAACGGGAGCCGGGUUCUCCCGAAGUUCGGUGCUGAUGGCGGGGGAACUGUACGUCCCCGACUUUUCUCUCGUCCGGGAGCUCCUGGAGCUGCCCUGUCCGGAUCCGGCUCCCGCUCCCGCUCUCAGAGCUGCCAACCCCACCCCUGCCGCUCCAUCACCGAACCCCGGUGCAAGGACUCCGGUUUCCUCGGCAGAGUCCUGGAGUGAAAGUAAUAAUACAAGGCCUAAGCGGCCGGAGAUGGUGCAGCGACCGUGCCCUUUCACCCUGCCCUUUGGCCUGCAAUGGGGAGUCUCACCCAGGUCCAUGGCUUCUUCACCCGUGCCACUUGCCCUCCGCCUCCUCCAGGAGACAGCCGAACUGCUGCCG